rnacentral:rRNA from 1 species
UACGUAGGGUGCAAGCGUUGUCCGGAAUUAUUGGGCGUAAAGAGCUCGUAGGCGGUCUGUCGCGUCGGCUGUGAAAACCCGGAGCUCAACUCCGGGCCUGCAGUCGAUACGGGCAGACUGGAGUUCGGCAGGGGAGACUGGAAUUCCUGGUGUAGCGGUGAAAUGCGCAGAUAUCAGGAGGAACACCGGUGGCGAAGGCAGCCUUCUGGGCCAACACUGACGCUCAUGCACGAAAGCGUGGGGAGCAAACAGG